UGUGGAAUGUGCACUUCUCUAAGCAU
rnacentral:piRNA from 1 species